rnacentral:rRNA from 1 species
UUGAAAUGGCUUUCCCUCCAGAGUGGAUCCUGAGUACGGCGGAACACGUGAAAUUCCGUCGGAAUCCGGGAGGACCAUCUCCCAAGGCUAAAUACUCCCUAGUGACCGAUAGUGAACCAGUACCGUGAGGGAAAGGUGAAAAGCACCCCGGAAGGGGAGUGAAACAGUUCCUGAAACCGUGUGCCUACAAGUAGUUAGAGCCCGUUAAUGGGUGAUAGCGUGCCUUUUGUAGAAUGAACCGGCGAGUUACGAUUUGUUGCAAGGUUAAGCGGAAAAAGCGGAGCCGUAGCGAAAGCGAGUCUGAAUAGGGCGCAUAAGUAACAGGUCGUAGACCCGAAACCAGGUGAUCUACCCAUGUCCAGGAUGAAGGUAAGGUAAUACUUACUGGAGGUCCGAACCCACGCACGUUGAAAAGUGCGGGGAUGAGGUGUGGGUAGCGGAGAAAUUCCAAUCGAACUUGGAGAUAGCUGGUUCUCUCCGAAAUAGCUUUAGGGCUAGCCUCGAGGUAAAGAGUCAUGGAGGUAGAGCACUGUUUGGACUAGGGGCCCUUCUCGGGUUACCGAAUUCAGAUAAACUCCGAAUGCCAUGUACUUAUACUCGGGAGUCAGACUGCGAGUGAUAAGAUCCGUAGUCGAAAGGGAAACAGCCCAGACCACCAGUUAAGGUCCCCAAAUAUAUGUUAAGUGGAAAAGGAUGUGGGGUUGCUUAGACAACCAGGAUGUUGGCUUAGAAGCAGCCACCAUUGAAAGAGUGCGUAAUAGCUCACUGGUCGAGUGACCCCGCGCCGAAAAUGUACCGGGGCUAAACAUAUUACCGAAACUGUGGAUGAACCUCUUUAGAGGUUCGUGGUAGGAGAGCGUUCUAAGGGCGGUGAAGUCAGACCGGAAGGACUGGUGGAGCGCUUAGAAGUGAGAAUGCCGGUAUGAGUAGCGAAAGAAGGGUGAGAAUCCCUUCCACCGAAUAUCUAAGGUUUCCUGAGGAAGGCUCGUCCGCUCAGGGUUAGUCGGGACCUAAGCCGAGGCCGAUAGGCGUAGGCGAUGGACAACAGGUAGAGAUUCCUGUACCAGUGCUAAUUGUUUAACCGAUGGGGUGACACAGAAGGAUAGGGAAUCGCACGAAUGGAAAUGUGCGUCCAAGCAGUGAGUGUGAGAAGUAGGCAAAUCCGCUUCUCGCGAAGCAUGAGCUGUGAUGGGGAAGGAAAUUAAGUACGGAAGUUCCUGAUUUCACGCUGUCAAGAAAAGCCUCUAGGAAGAGUAGUACUGCCCGUACCGCAAACCGACACAGGUAGAUGAGGAGAGAAUCCUAAGGUGAGCGAGAGAACUCUCGUUAAGGAACUCGGCAAAAUGACCCCGUAACUUCGGGAGAAGGGGUGCUCUAUUAGGGUGCAAGCCCGAGAGAGCCGCAGUGAAUAGGCCCAGGCGACUGUUUAGCAAAAACACAGGUCUCUGCAAAACCGUAAGGUGACGUAUAGGGGCUGACGCCUGCCCGGUGCUGGAAGGUUAAGAGGAGUGCUUAGCUUCGGCGAAGGUACGAAUUGAAGCCCCAGUAAACGGCGGCCGUAACUAUAACGGUCCUAAGGUAGCGAAAUUCCUUGUCGGGUAAGUUCCGACCCGCACGAAAGGCGCAACGAUCUGGGCACUGUCUCAACGAGAGACUCGGUGAAAUUAUAGUACCUGUGAAGAUGCAGGUUACCCGCGACAGGACGGAAAGACCCCGUGGAGCUUUACUGCAACCUGAUAUGGAAUGUUUGUACCGCUUGUACAGGAUAGGUAGGAGCCGAAGAGACGUGUGCGCUAGCAUACGAGGAGGCAAUGGUGGGAUACUACCCUGGCUGUAUGACCAUUCUAACCCGCCACGCUUAGCGCGUGGGGAGACAGUGUCAGGUGGGCAGUUUGACUGGGGCGGUCGCCUCCUAAAGAGUAACGGAGGCGCCCAAAGGUUCCCUCAGAAUGGAUGGAAAUCAUUCGCAGAGUGUAAAGGCACAAGGGAGCUUGACUGCGAGACUGACAAGUCGAGCAGGGACGAAAGUCGGGCUUAGUGAUCCGGUGGUUCCGCAUGGAAGGGCCAUCGCUCAACGGAUAAAAGCUACCCCGGGGAUAACAGGCUUAUCUCCCCCAAGAGUCCACAUCGACGGGGAGGUUUGGCACCUCGAUGUCGGCUCGUCGCAUCCUGGGGCUGUAGUCGGUCCCAAGGGUUGGGCUGUUCGCCCAUUAAAGCGGCACGCGAGCUGGGUUCAGAACGUCGUGAGACAGUUCGGUCCCUAUCCGUCGCGGGCGCAGGAAAUUUGAGAGGAGCUGUCCUUAGUACGAGAGGACCGGGAUGGACACACCGCUGGUGUACCAGUUGUUCCGCCAGGAGCAUCGCUGGGUAGCUAUGUGUGGCAGGGAUAAACGCUGAAAGCAUCUAAGCGUGAAGCCCCCCUCAAGAUGAGAUUUCCCAUUUCUUCGGAAAGUAAGAUCCCUGAAAGAUGAUCAGGUAGAUAGGUUUGGAGUGGAAGUGUAGCGAUACAUGGAGCGGACAAAUACUAAUCGAUCGAGGACUUAACCAAAA